GAGGAGCUGUGCAGGUCUGGGAUCUGUCCUCACCAAAGCAUCUUCAAAGCUGAAAAAUCUAGACCUCAGUGUCAACAGUAUUGGAGAUAAUGGUGUCCAAAAAUUGUGUAGUGGACUGGGUAACCCAAACUGUGCACUGGAGACACUCGGGCUCUCUGACUGCAGUAUCACUGAGAGAAGCUGUGCAGGUCUGGCAUCUGUCCUCACCAAAGCGUCUUCAAAGCUGAAAAAUCUGGACCUCAAUGACAACAGUAUUGGAGAUAUUGGUGUCCAAGAGCUGUGUAGUGGACUGGGUAACCCAAACUGUGCACUGGAGACACUCGGGCUCUCUGACUGCAGUAUCACAGACAAAGGCUAUGCUAGUCUGGCUUCAGCCCUGAGGUUAAAUCCCAAAUACCUCAGAGAGCUUGAUCUCAGAGGAAAUGAUCCAGGGAAAUCUGGAGUCAAACUGCUUUCAGAC